AUUGAACGCUGGCGGCAUGCCUUACACAUGCAAGUCGAACGGUAACGCGGGGCAACCUGGCGACGAGUGGCGAACGGGUGAGUAACGCAUCGGAACGUGCCCAGUAGUGGGGGAUAGCCCGGCGAAAGCCGGAUUAAUACCGCAUACGACCUACGGGUGAAAGAGGGGGAUCGCAAGACCUCUCGCUAUUGGAGCGGCCGAGGUCAGAUUAGGUAGUUGGUGGGGUAAAGGCCUACCAAGCCUACGAUCUGUAGCUGGUCUGAGAGGACGACCAGCCACACUGGGACUGAGACACGGCCCAGACUCCUACGGGAGGCAGCAGUGGGGAAUUUUGGACAAUGGGCGCAAGCCUGAUCCAGCCAUGCCGCGUGCGGGAAGAAGGCCUUCGGGUUGUAAACCGCUUUUGUCCGGGAAGAAACGCUCUGGACUAAUACUCUGGGGUAAUGACGGUACCUGAAGAAUAAGCACCGGCUAACUACGUGCCAGCAGCCGCCGUAA
rnacentral:rRNA from 1 species